rnacentral:lncRNA from 1 species
CACCACUCUAUACUGUUUUCCAACAGAAAAUCUAGGUAUCUUGCACCAAGAAGUGGAAAAUAAAGAAGAGAAAUGAGAAGCAUGUUUGUAUUGGCUGUCUAUAAAAUAAGAGAGGAAGGAAAAAUGAGUUUGAACAAUAGACUCUUCAUUGUUAAAUAGCCCCUGUGGGAGAUACGGAGAGCCUGGUGAUGACUGUCACCCCAUGGCGUGCGUUCCUGUACUAUUGAUUCGACUGUGUCUUAACUUGC